UUGGUUUUUCGCACAAUUCCACAUUACUUAAAGUUGCUUAUUUAUUAUUUACGAGUCGGACAUGCAUGCAUCGAUAUAAAUAAUCGAAAGUCAAAUCUAAGUGACAAAAGAACGAGUUCAGCCAAACUAGCGGCUCAAUCUAAAAAAGAACAAAAACUUUGCAAAACAAACGGAGAAGAGGCUGUUGUUGCAUGUGUGU